UUGAGAAAAGCACACACAGAAUCUUCUUGUCAACUUCUAGGCUUCACAGCACUCUUGUCUAUUGUUGCCCUGCUGCUAAGGUUGAAGUCUGAUGCUACUGGACAGCCCUGAGCUCGGUGCAAAAUGGUAGACUCCAUUUGUCAUCGGGGAUAUUUCUCCUCUGGAAGACCCUGGACUCCACCAGAGGAAUGACAUGCCAGAGUAGUCUUACACCCGAGAUUCCUGGACUGCCUCCCCAUGAUACUGAGAUGGUUACGUGACCACAGUACACAGGCUCACUUUAAUCCUUAGUCUGUGAAGCAAGGCUGACAGGUGGGUUCACUUUCCACCUUUGACUGAUAACAUUCACAUGGAAGCCAAAAGAUGUUGUCAGCUACUUUGAAGAUGACUGGGGAGACCAGAAGGAAGAGAAGGAAGAGAGUCGCAUGUGAAGACCUGAGGAUGGAGGGCUCCACCCAAUGCAGAAGAAAGCUUCCUUUUGGCUGCCUGAGAAUGCCAGUCCUCUCCUGGCUGCCUGCACAUCAAGAUAUAGAAUCAUCAGCAACUUCUCCAGCACCAUGUCUGCCUGGACACUGCCAUGCUUUCUGCCAGGA